UAUUAAUGAUAAAUGACCUCCGGUUAGAUGGCAUAGAUACAUGGAAAUACGUCGACGACACCUCUACAUCAGAGAUUAUUCAAAAAGGCACGGAUAGUAAUAUCCAACAUAGUUCCUCUGAACUCCAGGAGUGGUCUUUACAAAAUAGAUUCCAAUUAAAUUCAAGCAAGUGCAAAGAAUUAAGAAUUGACUUCAAACGGGAAAAGCAACAAUUUAAUCCUGUUAUGGUAAACGAUCAACCGGUUGAAGUGGUCAAACAUGCUAAACUACUGGGUCUUACUAUUUCCAGC